AGAGUUUGAUCCUGGCUCAGAUUGAACGCUGGCGGCAGGCCUAACACAUGCAAGUCGAGCGGUAACACAAGGAAGCUUGCUUCUGAGGUGACGAUCGGCGGACGGGUGAGUAAUGCCUAGGGAUCUGCCCAGUCGAGGGGGAUAACAGUUGGAAACGACUGCUAAUACCGCAUACGCCCUACGGGGGAAAGGAGGGGACCUUCGGGCCUUCCGCGAUUGGAUGAACCUAGGUGGGAUUAGCUAGUUGGUGAGGUAAUGGCUCACCAAGGCGACGAUCCCUAGCUGUUCUGAGAGGAUGAUCAGCCACACUGGGACUGAGACACGGCCCAGACUCCUACGGGAGGCAGCAGUGGGGAAUAUUGCACAAUGGGGGAAACCCUGAUGCAGCCAUGCCGCGUGUGUGAAGAAGGCCUUCGGGUUGUAAAGCACUUUCAGUAGGGAGGAAAGGUGAUGUGUUAAAGCACAUUGCUUGUGACGUUA
rnacentral:rRNA from 1 species